CCUACGGGAGGCAGCAGUGAGGAAUAUUGGUCAAUGGGCGCAAGCCUGAACCAGCCAUGCCGCGUGCAGGAUGACGGUCCUAUGGAUUGUAAACUGCUUUUGUACGGGAAGAAAUCCUCCUACGUGUAGGAGCUUGACGGUACCGUAAGAAUAAGGAUCGGCUAACUCCGUGCCAGCAGCCGCGGUAAU
rnacentral:rRNA from 1 species